UAACCUGCGAUCAAUGAAAUCCUUAGAAUACGAUACCCGAGGCUUUCAGGACGUCAGUUAUUCGAGUAAGAGGACAUCAAAGAUAAUCAAAGAUAGAACUCGUUGAAUCGAGAUAAUAGUCACUCAGUGACGCAAAGCCGCAGUGACGACGAUAACCUUGUCGAACUUUUUAAUAUGUCGCGGUCGAACCAUUGUAUCUUUAUGUUGGACUUCAUUCUUAUAUAUGUAUAGAUGGAUAACUAUCGUCAGACUGCCGAUUUUCUGCAUUCGUAAAAAGCGCAUACGAAACGUACGGAGACAAAUGUUUCGCGAAUCGAUAUAAUAAUUAGACUGUGUAUUUUUGUAUAUUUAUGGAAAGCUUGAAUGUCCAAGAAGUAGGGGUGUGCGGGAUUCCCGAGAAUAUCCGGGAUUACCGAGAAUAUUCGGGAUUCCCGAGAAUAUUCGGGAUUCUCGAGUUUAUGCGGGAUCCCGAGUUGAUACGAGAUUCCCGAGAAUACGCGAGAUCCAGCAUAAAUCCGGGAUUUCCGAGAAUGUACGGGAUCUCGAAAAUGUUCGGGAUUCCCGAAAAUAUCCGGGAUUCACGA